AGAGUUUGAUCAUGGCUCAGGAUGAACGCUGCGGCGUGCUUAAUACAUGCAAGUCGAACGGGCCGAGUUCAGCGGGAGACCUUGGAGGCUCUGGCGUACGAGAAAUCGUACAAGGGGGUUGAUGAGGUGGACCAACGAAUACUUGGUCAGUGGCGGACGGGUGAGUAACACGUAGGUAAUCUACCUCAAGGUGGGGGACAACUGAUCGAAAGGUCAGCUAAUACCGCGUAAGAUCCUUCGGGAUGAAAGGUUUCGAUCGCCUUGAGAUGAGCCUGCGGCCGAUUAGCUAGUUGGCAGGGUAAAAGCCUACCAAGGCGACGAUCGGUAGCUGGUCUGAGAGGAUGAUCAGCCACACUGGAACUGGAACACGGUCCAGACUCCUACGGGGGGCAGCAGUAAGGAAUAUUGCACAAUGGGGGAAACCCUGAUGCAGCAACGCCGCGUGAGCGAAGAAGGCCUUCGGGUUGUAAAGCUCUUUUCUGUGGGACGAGGAAGGACGGUACCACAGGAACAAGUCUCGGCUAACUACGUGCCAGCAGCCGCGGUAACACGUAGGAGACGAGCGUUAUCCGGAUUCACUGGGCGUAAAGGGCAAGUAGGCGGUUGCUUAAGUUGGGCGUGACAAUCUCUGGCUUAACUAGGGAAGGACGUUCAAAACUAGGCAACUUGAGGGCAGGAGAGGAAAGCGGAAUUCCUAGUGUAGCGGUGGAAUGCUCAGAUACUAGGAGGAACACCGGUGGCGAAGGCGGCUUUCUGGUCUGCACCUGACGCUGAGAGGCGAAAGCUAGGGUAGCGAACGGGCUUAGAUACCCUGGUAGUCCACGCCGUAAACGAUGAGUACUAGGUGUCGGGGGUUACCCCCCUCGGUGCCGCAGCUAACGCAUUAAGUACUCCGCCUGGGGAGUACGCUCGCAAGAGUGAAACUCAAAUGAAUUGACGG
rnacentral:rRNA from 1 species